AUGAGUUGCCUCUCAUGGAACUGCCGGGGGCUUGGGAACCCCGAGGCGGUUCGGGAGCUUCGCAAUGUCAUGAAGCUAGAAGGACCCACACUCCUCUUCGUCAUGGAAACAAAAAUCAAAGGGAAGAGGGUUGAGGAUUUGCAAAGACAUCUAGGCUUCGGCGGGUGCUUUGCGGUUGAUAGUACUGGUCUAAGUGGUGGUAUUGGUCUGUUU
rnacentral:rRNA from 1 species